rnacentral:rRNA from 1 species
UCGGAUUGUAGUCUGCAACCCGCCUGCAUGAAGUCGGAAUUGCUAGUAAUCGCGGAUCAGCAUGCCGCGGUGAAUACGUUCCCGGGCCUUGUACACACCGCCCGUCACACCAUGGGAGCCGGUAAUACCCGAAGUCAGUAGUCCAACCUCGUGAGGACGCUGCCGAAGGUAGGAUUGGCGACUGGGGUGAAGUCGUAACAAGGUAAC